rnacentral:rRNA from 1 species
GGCAAAAGCUCAAAUUUGAAAUCUGGUACCUUCGGUGCCCGAGUUGUAAUUUGGAGAGGGCAACUUUGGGGCCGUUCCUUGUCUAUGUUCCUUGGAACAGGACGUCAUAGAGGGUGAGAAUCCCGUGUGGCGAGGAGUGCGGUUCUUUGUAAAGUGCCUUCGAAGAGUCGAGUUGUUUGGGAAUGCAGCUCUAAGUGGGUGGUAAAUUCCAUCUAAAGCUAAAUAUUGGCGAGAGACCGAUAGCGAACAAGUACAGUGAUGGAAAGAUGAAAAGAACUUUGAAAAGAGAGUGAAAAAGUACGUGAAAUUGUUGAAAGGGAAGGGCAUUUGAUCAGACAUGGUGUUUUGUGCCCUCUGCUCCUUGUGGGUAGGGGAAUCUCGCAUUUCACUGGGCCAGCAUCAGUUUUGGUGGCAGGAUAAAUCCAUAGGAAUGUAGCUUGCCUCGGUAAGUAUUAUAGCCUGUGGGAAUACUGCCAGCUGGGACUGAGGACUGCGACGUAAGUCAAGGAUGCUGGCAUAAUGGUUAUA